rnacentral:rRNA from 1 species
GAUGAACGCUGGCGGCGUGCUUAACACAUGCAAGUCGAACGGAAAGGCCCAAGCUUGCUUGGGUACUCGAGUGGCGAACGGGUGAGUAACACGUGGGUGAUCUGCCCUGCACUUCGGGAUAAGCCUGGGAAACUGGGUCUAAUACCGGAUAGGACCACUUCUUGGAUGUUGUGGUGGAAAGUUUUUUCGGUGUGGGAUGAGCUCGCGGCCUAGCAGCUUGUUGGUGGGGUAAUGGCCUACCAAGGCGUCGACGGGUAGCCGGCCUGAGAGGGUGUACGGCCACAUUGGGACUGAGAUACGGCCCAGACUCCUACGGGAGGCAGCAGUGGGGAAUAUUGCACAAUGGGCGCAAGCCUGAUGCAGUGACGCCGCGUGGGGGAUGACGGCCUUCGGGUUGUAAACUCCUUUCGCUAGGGACGAAGCGUUUUGUGACGGUACCUGGAGAAGAAGCACCGGCUAACUACGUG